ACGGCACGCUCACCGUUAUCUCCCUCAAGAGCUGAGUAUGAGCGUUCCCCCUCCUGGAUGGAGCCAGGAGGAUCUAUUACUCUGUCAAAGCUCCUCUCCCUCUGGGGGAACCUUGUCUGCUUUCAGUGUAGGGACUGCACCGGGUGACACUUUAAAAGGUUAGCAGGCAUUGUGACCUAGUGGACCAGACCUGCCCAUCUGAGGAGGGGAAACCCACCAUGUCAGUGUAAAGUAUGUUCACCCUGUUACCCGUUGA